rnacentral:tRNA from 1 species
GUGGCUCAGUGGUAGAGUGCUUGCCUCGCAUGCAUGAGGUCCUGGGUUCAAUUCCUCAGC